rnacentral:rRNA from 1 species
UACAGAGGUCUCAAGCGUUGUUCGGAUUCAUUGGGCGUAAAGGGCGCGUAGGCGGGUUGCCAAGUCUGUGGUGAAAUCCUCCAGCUUAACUGGAGAACGGCCGUGGAUACUGGCGACCUCGAGGGGGGUAGGGGCUUGCGGAACUGUGCGUGGAGCGGUGAAAUGCGUUGAUAUGCACGGAACACCCGUGGCGAAGGCGGCUCUCUGGGACGGUACUGACGCUGAGACGCGAAAGCGUGGGGAGCGAACAGG